CUCUGAACCAAAUAUACUCGGGUUCGAUCCUUAUGCAGUUUCAAGUCACGUGACGUCAAGCCAAGUGGCGGUUUACAAGCGUGCUCGGAGCCAGCAGGGGUGGUUCUUCCCUCACCUGCGGCGGACUCGAGCGUGGGACCGGUAGGACCAAAUGGCAUGCCUUCCGCGCCGUAAGGGACUUCACCAGUUCCCACAUACUCCGUUGGUCGUGAGGGCGGCCGUGGCGGGUACGGGGCGGGCCGCCUCGAAGCUGCGUUACUACUGCCAUACAAAGACUGCGACGCUACGAACCAGCCACCAACUGUAAGAUAGAGC